rnacentral:rRNA from 1 species
GCCAAACAUUAAGCCCAACCCGUUCGUCCAACAACUAUUACACCAACAAAACAAACCAUUUGACAAAAAAAGUAUUUGAGAAAGAACUUUAAAACCGGCGCAAUACAAACCGCAAGGGACACCUGAAAGAAAAAUGAAAUACUUCAGCACAACAAAGCAAAGAUUAACCCUUGUACCUCUUGCAUCAUGAUUUAGCAAGAAGCAUCAGACAAAGAGACCUAUAGUCUGCCCCCCCGAAACUUCGUGAGCUACUUCCGGGCAAUUUAUGCGAAUCAACUCGUCUCUGUGGCAAAAGAGUGAGAAGACCUUGGAGUAGUGGUGAAAAGCCAAACGAACGAAGUGAUAGCUGGUUGCCCCAUAAAAAAAUUUAAGUUUUACCUUAGACAAUAAUACCCAAAACCCUGGGCCCAUCUAAGAGCUAUUCAAUAAAGGUACAACUUUAUUGAACCCGGAUACAACCGGCCAUUGGAGACACCAAUCCCUACAACACACCCGUAGGCCCUAAAGCAGCCACCACAAAAUACUGCGUCAAAGCAUGAAACAUCAAAUUCCAAAACCAACACGCACCCAAAAAUAAGUGGGGCCACUCUAUGUAAACAUAGAGAAACCAAUGCUAAAACUAGUAACAUGAAAACUUCUCUCAGCAUAACCUUUAGUCGAACUAGAAAGUCUGCCGACAAUUAACAGCAACCCAAACUACACCCACUGUAAAAACCACUGUAGACCCAACACAGGGAUGCGAAAAAGAAAGAUCAAACCCCACAAAAGGAACUCGGCAAACACGCGGUCCCAACUGUUUACCAAAAACAUAGCCUUUAGCCAUAAUAGUAUUAAAGGUCCCACCUGCCCAGUGAAAUUUUUAAACGGCCGCGGUAUCCUAACCGUGCAAAGGUAGCGUAAUCACUUGUCCCCUAAAUAGGGACUAGUAUGAAAGGUUAAAUGAGGACCAACCUGUCUCUUGUGGGAGAUCAGUGAAACUGAACUUCCAGUACAAAUGCUGGAAUGUACACACAAGACGAGAAGACCCUGUGGAGCUUUAAACUACCCUCAAACAAUAAAUUGAGCUCGAGUUUUCAGUUGGGGCGACUUCGGAACAAAAAAAAGCUUCCGAGCACCAAGAGACCCACUCUUGCAACGGCCAACAGGCCAACGCAUCAACAAACCAUGACCCGGAGUUUAUUCCGACUAACGAACCAAGUUACCCCAGGGAUAACAGCGCUAUCUUCUUUAAGAGUCCAUAUCAACAAGCAAGGCUUACGACCUCGAUGUUGGAUCAGGACACCCAAAUGGUGCAGCCGCUAUUAAUGGUUCGUUUGUUCAACGAUUAACAGUCCUACGUGAUCUGAGUUCAGACCGGAGUAAUCCAGGUCGGUUUCUAUCUAUGAGCCUUCUUAUUCAGUACGAAAGGACAACUAAGAAAGGACCAAAACCAGCCAAGUCCUCCUAACCACAGCUGACAUCAACUCAACUAAAAUCUAGGGCCCCCCCCAGGCCAAGACAAGGCCAUUU